rnacentral:lncRNA from 1 species
GUGCCUAUCUGGAUCCGCAUGCCUGUCAUCACCAUCGUGCUGUUGUUGUUUGUAACUUCAAUGGUGAAACCUCCAGGCUUUGUGUUGGCCACAUACAUGCCAGUGGAAUUGAGCCGGUGCUUUAUCUGCUGAGCAUUGUAGACCUGCAGCAGAUCGUUGCCUCCAAACUCCACAUCUGUGAGCUGCUGGUUGUGUUCGAAGAAGUCGAUAGGAAAGUUCACUUGGCUGGAUGUGCGAGUUGUGAUAGCAGCUGCCUUGCGCUUGCGGACAGGUUUCAUGAUGCUGAUGACACUGCUAGGCUGCAGGGAGGGCUGGAGCCAAUAGGAGGUGUUCUCCACAUUGGCCAUGUAGAUCC